CGCUGGCGGCAUGCCUAACACAUGCAAGUCGAACGAAGCCUUCGGGCUUUAGUGGCGCACGGGUGCGUAACACGUGGGAAUCUGCCCUUUCGGUUCGGAAUAACAGUUAGAAAUGACUGCUAAUACCGGAUGAUGACGUAAGUCCAAAGAUUUAUCGCCGAAGGAUGAGCCCGCGUAGGAUUAGGUAGUUGGUAGGGUAAUGGCCUACCAAGCCGACGAUCCUUAGCUGGUCUGAGAGGAUGAUCAGCCACACUGGGACUGAGACACGGCCCAGACUCCUACGGGAGGCAGCAGUGGGGAAUAUUGGACAAUGGGCGAAAGCCUGAUCCAGCAAUGCCGCGUGAGUGAUGAAGGCCUUAGGGUUGUAAAGCUCUUUUACCAGGGAUGAUAAUGACAGUACCUGGAGAAUAAGCUCCGGCUAACUCCGUG
rnacentral:rRNA from 1 species